ACUUAUUUAAGCUCUGAAAACUGGUUGAAAUAUUGCACUGACUUAGAGAUGACAGGAGUAGCUCCUCCCAAUCAACUGUAGCACAGUCAGACUGCAAUCUCUGGCUCAUGUGUAAAUAGUCACCAUUUUGGUAGGUGGUCUAUUUCUAGUGCUCUUACUAUUUUAUUUCAAAACAUGGAAACAGUAAAGCUAACUGAUUCUUUCUACCACCUCUUUCUGUGUGUCAGGUUACAUUACCCUUUUCAAGUGUCAAUGUUUCUUCUUUUCUCUCUCACAGAAAAUGUAUUAAUAGACCUCUGGGCUGAUGAUUGCUUUUGGUACUGGAAAAUGCUGUAUGAGGCUUCUCAGCUGUUUCAGAGAUCCCUGACAUGUCCUGACAGAUGUCUGAACUGGGAGACCAAGAAUAUGCUUUUCACUGCAGCAAAUCCCAGCAGUCACAUCAUGUUGGGUGAAAAGGAGCCAAUUUAUGUCAGGGUGUAAAACAGAAUACACCUCUUUGGCGUUGGACUUGAUGAUCGUCGUGGGUUCCUUCCAACUUGGCUUAUUCUAUGACUCUUUGAUCCCAGAAUUGUGUUCUUCUAAACAUCAUAGUCUUCACCAAAUGCUUCAAUGAAAUAGUUGGAAAAUGUUUGUAAUAUUGGCAGAUAUUGUUUCCUUUACUUCAGUUUUGAAACAACUUAGCCAGUUUCAGUACAACCUUGUAAGAAUUACAAAGAAACAAAAUAAAAACACACAUACUGAGUCUAAAGCA
rnacentral:lncRNA from 1 species